UCUUCCAUAGGAAAGUCAUUAGGACUGGGUGACAUGUCAAAUUAAUUUUCUUUAUUCUUUUUUUUUUAUUGUUACACAGUGUAUAUAGCCUAAUGUGCAGGUUAUAUCAUGAGAAUCAAGUUAUUUGCCUUCAGCCUGCACAAAAUGAUUACUUUUAGUCUAAAAGUACCGUAGAUGAUAGCUGCUACAUUAGCUGUCUUUGUCAUUGUGUUAAGUUUUUGUUUAUUCUGUUUCCUGUUUUAUUUUGAAAGUUAAUCUCCCCAUGUGUCAUGUUUGGUUUUCCUUCUUGUAUUUGUGUGUUUGCCACACCUGUGUUUCAUUACUCAAUUAGUCUCUUGUGUGUUUUUGUGCUUCACUUCGUCAUCAGUCUUUGUAUACAGAGUACCUGCGUUGUUCCCAGUGUUUCCAGUGUUUCCAGUGAUUUAUUUAUGUUCCCUGCCUGAUUUCGGACUCUGAGCUGUAAGUCAUUUUUUAUUAAUCAAUCAUCAAACUUUCCCUGCUGCCUCUUCAUCAAUUCAUUCCAGUCCGUUCUCGUCAAACACCGACGCUUCGUCACAGCCGUCAGCGUUCAAUACGAAUCCUCCCCGGGACGCCUCCAGUCCUCCAGUCCUCUUGUCCGUCCUCCGGUCCGUCCUCCGGUCCUCCAGACCUGCAGACUUUAACCUGUGGGAGGAAACAGCUGAGGUUUAUUUAAUCAUCCUGGUCCCCGUCGUCCUCUAAAGCCUCCAACAGCUCCGGUCUCACGUCCACGGAGGUCCAGAGAGGACAGACAGCAGAGACAAGCUUUUACUGCAGAGAGGAAACACAACAUCAGAUUUAUGAAGCUCCACUCCCGAGUCCAGCUGGGAACAUCUGGCCUCGUUCUCUAACCGUUCUUCAGACGAUCCUCUCGGUGGUCAGCGAGGGGUCGGCGGGGCCCCCGUUAGUCCUCUGAUCCGGAUCGAGGGGUCACAGCAGCAGGGCCUGAGAAGAGACGCUGGAGCCCCAAAACCCCGAGACCAGCUGGAGAAACACAGCACCAACUAACGUCUACAGAUAUAUAACCAAAUAUCCCGUCCAGUCUCACGCUGUAAUAGACCCGCCUUUCCACCGCCAGUGUCACGUUUUGUGUCGCCGAGACGUGAAUAUUACCUACAUGAAGGUGUUAUGAAGUGACAGCUGACGGCUCCAACAAACACAGGACCGGCUAUUUGUUGUCUAAGUUACGUUAGCGACGUUUGUCAUGUUUUCUGCACUGACUGACUUUGUGUUUUACUUAGUUUACGUACUUAUUUUAACCUCUAAAGCCCUAAAGGGUGCUGGAAGGUGUGGUUCUCCUAGAAAAAAAAUAGCUCCACAACUAGCAGGUCUAUCUGCAUGAUUGUGGUCUCUAUGGAUAGGUAAGACCUCAGAGAAUUUAUCCUCAGUGUCAGUAACAAUGUGAAAAAGUCCAAAAAAUGCUUGAA